rnacentral:rRNA from 1 species
GAUGAACGCUAGCGGCAGGCUUAAUACAUGCAAGUCGUGGGGCAGCAGGACUGUAGCAAUACAGUUGCUGGCGACCGGCAAACGGGUGCGGAACACGUACGCAACUUACCCUGAACUGGGGGAUAGCCCGGGGAAACCCGGAUUAAUACCCCGUGAUAUAAUGGGGUGGCAUCACUUUAUUAUUAAAGCUCCGGCGGUUCGGGAUGGGCGUGCGGCUGAUUAGGUGGUUGGUUGAGGUAACGGCUCACCAAGCCUACGAGCAGUAACUGGUGUGAGAGCAAGACCAGUCACACGGGCACUGAGACACGGGCUCGACUCCUACGGGAGGCAGCAGUAAGGAAGAUUGGGCAAGGGAGGCAAAUCUGACCCAGCCAUGCCGCGUGGAGGAGGAAGGCCAUCGGGGUUGUAAACUUCUUUUAUAGGGGACGAAACCUGUGUAUUCUUACGCAGUUGACGGUACCAAAGGAAUAAGCACCGGCUAACUCCGUG